AGGUAUGGUGAACUCUCAUGGCAAAACUGGGUUUAAGGAUAUUUGGAAGCACAAGUAGUAUCUCUACUUGGUGCGAGAAAUUUGGCUAGCAUGAGGGGGAAAAGCAAGCUCAACAUGUUUGGAAGGUCAAUGACAAUAUAGUUUAACUGAGAUGUCGGAAAACAUAAACCAUUACGUUGUCUUCCUUGUACAACAUCAACUCUUUUAGCAUGUCAUACUUAAUGAGUGCUUCACAAUCAUAAAAGAUAUCCAAGAUAAUGUAUUUAUAUGUGAACCCCUCUUUCCUUAUCACUUCCUAUUAAUUGCAACGAUGACCAAGGCUACGUUCAUCAACUCUCAACAAUUUUUAUGCCUCAUACUUUCUAUGUGUG
rnacentral:rRNA from 1 species